rnacentral:rRNA from 1 species
UGGGGAAUAUUGCACAAUGGGCGCAAGCCUGAUGCAGCCAUGCCGCGUGUAUGAAGAAGGCCUUCGGGUUGUAAAGUACUUUCAGUCGGGAGGAAGGUGGUAAGGUUAAUAACCUUGGCAAUUGACGUUACCGACAGAAGAAGCACCGGCUAACUCCGUGCCAGCAGCCGCGGUAAUACGGAGGGUGCAAGCGUUAAUCGGAAUUACUGGGCGUAAAGCGCACGCAGGCGGUCUGUCAAGUCGGAUGUGAAAUCCCCGGGCUCAACCUGGGAACUGCAUCUGAUACUGGCAAGCUUGAGUCUCGUAGAGGGGGGUAGAAUUCCAGGUGUAGCGGUGAAAUGCGUAGAGAUCUGGAGGAAUACCGGUGGCGAAGGCGGCCCCCUGGACGAAGACUGACGCUCAGGUGCGAAAGCGUGGGGAGCAAACAGG